rnacentral:rRNA from 1 species
CCUACGGGAGGCAGCAGUGGGGAAUAUUGGACAAUGGGCGAAAGCCUGAUCCAGCCAUGCCGCGUGUGUGAAGAAGGCCUUCGGGUUGUAAAGCACUUUCAGUGGGGAAGAAAGCCUUGGGGCUAAUACCCUCGAGGAAGGACAUCACCCAUAGAAGAAGCACCGGCUAACUCCGUGCCAGCAGCCGCGGUAAUACGGAGGGUGCGAGCGUUAAUCGGAAUUACUGGGCGUAAAGCGCGCGUAGGCGGUCUGAUAAGCCGGUUGUGAAAGCCCCGGGCUCAACCUGGGAACGGCAUCCGGAACUGUCAGGCUAGAGUGCAGGAGAGGAAGGUAGAAUUCCCGGUGUAGCGGUGAAAUGCGUAGAGAUCGAGAGGAAUACCAGUGGCGAAGGCGGCCUUCUGGACUGACACUGACGCUGAGGUGCGAAAGCGUGGGUAGCAAACAGGAUUAGAUACCCGUGUAGUC